UACGUAGGGGGCAAGCGUUGUCCGGAAUCAUUGGGCGUAAAGCGCGUGUAGGCGGUUUGUCGCGUCUGCUGUGAAAACCCGAGGCUCAACCUCGGGCCUGCAGUGGGUACGGGCAGACUAGAGUGCGGUAGGGGAGAUUGGAAUUCCUGGUGUAGCGGUGGAAUGCGCAGAUAUCAGGAGGAACACCAAUGGCGAAGGCAGAUCUCUGGGCCGUAACUGACGCUGAGGAGCGAAAGCAUGGGGAGCAAACAGG
rnacentral:rRNA from 1 species